GUAAUAUGUCUGAUAAAAGGUAAUAAAUUGUAAAUUUAUUUAAGGAUUUAAUAAAUUCUAUUGCUA
rnacentral:tRNA from 1 species